CAAGUUUAAUAAUUGUAAGUGUCUAUUCUAAAGAAUUGAUUAGCUCUAAUACAGAAUAUAGAAAUAAAGACAUAAUGCAACAAAAUCUUUCAUCAUUAAUUACAUGAUUACAGUUUGGAAGAUAAUGACGAAAUAAAGUUGGUUGGGACCAAAGAAAAAAUGGAAAGAAAGGAAGCAGUUUGGUUGUGUUUAUGGAAGGAUUGUGGGAUUUAAUAUGUUACUGGAUCUUUUCCUUUCUGUGGAUUGUGCGCUGUUUUUGUUAGCAGAGGAGUGUCUGUGUGUUUGGUUGUUGUGGUUUGAUUUGUUUGUGGAUGACGUGGUCUUCCUCCGUUGUGUUUUGUUGUGGCGAGUAGAAGAGGAGUGGGUCUCGUUUGGGUGAUGGUUAUAGAAAAUUGCAUGGUAGAGUUGGAUGAGGAAGGUGCAGGAAGAGGCAUUGAAAUGAGAGUGAAUUGAAUGCAGAAGAUGAAGAUGAAGAUGGUGGCAGUAGGAGAGAAGAGAAGAGAAGUUUAUGAUAUUGGUUGAUGGAAAGUGGGAAUUUAUAGGAAAAAAUAGAGACUAAUGGAAGAAAAGUAUAACAUAUGUAUGACUGUUGGAACUUGUCAAACUAUGGAACCAGUCUCUCUAUAUUUCUAAUUCUAGGAUUCAAGGUCCAAUCAACUAACAUGACUCACCAUAACCAAUUCACAUUCACCAUAUAUUUAUAACAAUAUUAUAAAAGUAAUAUUUUAAAAAGGUUACUAAGAAUAAAAAUGUUACUAAAUGUUCUUAGUGAUGUUUUUUUUAAUGAAACAAUAAUAUUAUAAAAAUGUUACUCAAAAUAAUCUUAAUAUAUUGUUACAAACAAUUUAAACACUAGAACAACAGAAAUGGACAGCAAAGCUUCAAGGAUAUAAUUUUCAAAUAAUUUACAAACCUGGAAAAAUAAUGUGGUGGUUGAUUCACACUCCCGUCAGGAACCGCCGCCUCUAUCAUUGUUGUUAGUCAUCUCCUCCUUGCUUCCCACAAUUUUCAAGGAAUUGCAGCAAUACUUCACCACCACAGAAGAACACCACUUAAUUCUUUCGCACACCCGCAACCAACCAUUGCCCAAUAAAUUCUCCACAAGACAAGGAUUGCUCUUCUUCCACCACCGAUUUUUCUUCCCCAAGUUCACGAUUUUCGCAAUCGCAUCAUCAGUGAAUUUCAUGACUCCCCAACAAGGGGACACUCUAGUUUGAAACCCACCAUGACAAAGGUAGUUGUGUCCUUCUACUGGUCAGGUUUGACUCGAGAUACCAAGAAGUUCAUAAAAAACUACUCUAUUUGCCAACAAAAUAAAUAUCGGCCAAAGAAACCACACAGAUUACUCCAACCCCUCCCUAUACUCCGUCAAGUAUGGGAAGACAUUUCUAUGGAUUUUAUUACCCACUUAUUGGCGUUUGUUGGUCAUACUAUGAUUUGAGUGAUAUGUGAUCGUCUUUCAAAAUGCGCCCACUACUUGGCCUUUACCACCCAUUACACAGCUUAGGGUCUCACACACAGGUUCUCCACAAAAAUUUGUCGUCUUCACGGACUCCCCACAAGCAUUGUUUCAGAUCGAGACCUAAUCUUCACCAACACUAAUGGUGUGAGCCUUCACAGCCGAGUUUUUUCCUUGGAUAUUUGACAAGAUUGGCGGAAGCUUGAUGGAGGGAAUGGAACAAGGAAUACUCCAAUGGAGCUACGGAUUCCUUGAAGGUGCAUGAAGAGUAGGGAGAGUAUUUGGUUGGGCCAUAUCACUUAGAGAGGUGAAGAAGAAGACUAAAUGUGUUUAUCCCAAAGAGGUUUAGAGAAGAGAGUGAGUAGGCUAGCAACUUGGAAUCAUAAUACUCUAAAAUUGAUCUUACUAUUUCAUGAGCUAAGAACCUCAAUUUAUAGGAGAGAGGAAUGAACAUUUUGGAGCCAAAAUUUGAAAAUUAAAAAUAAAAGUCUCCAAUGAGAAGGUGCCAUGUGGACUCAUGCUUUCCAUGUUUAGCUCACACCUUCCAUGCUAAAUCCUCUCCACUCCUAAGCUUCCAUGUGGACGUCCAUGUACUCCAUGCCAAGAUAAUUUUUGUCCUCUAAUAUACCCUAGAUGUUUUAGGGUUACAUUGGGCUCAAACCGAUGAUCAAACAAACGUUUUGAAUAGGGGAUUAGAAGCUUACUUUUGUUUAGUAACAACCCCCAUUCAUGGUAUAAAUUCCUCCAUCUCAUAGGGUUAUGGUACAACACUUCAUACCACUCCUCCAUCAGAACCUCUCCCUUCCAACCUUGUAUGGACGACCACCACACACCACCAUAGAAAUGUUCCACACACUGUGAACGAGCACAACGAGUACAAAACUCUUACAAGAGCACACUCUCGUCGUUUACCAAUUGAAGCAGAAUCUCCACCGCAAUCGUCAACGCAUUUGAGCCCAAGCGGACAACCACCCCACCAACCGCUCCUUCAACAUUGGAGAUUGGGUCUGGCUUCGUCUUCAACCUUACCAAGAACACUCUGUCGAGUACCGCCUCUCACCCAAGGUAUCCCCGUGUCAUUUCGGCCCCUAUCGGAUCGAGCACCGCACAGGCACGAUGUGGCCUACGAGCUCUGGUUUCCCCCGCCAUCAUGAAUCCAUCCAAUGUUUCACGUCUUGCUACUCUGCCUGUUUAAACGGAUACCCCCAAAGAACAUAUCUAACACAACUACGCCCAACUCACCACUUUUGAACUUACCAACUCCUGAAAACCCUAAUCCGCCAAACCCAUUGACACCACCGUACGAGCCCCCCAAUCAGAAAACGACACAUGGUCAAGCAUUUACGAGGAGUCAUGAUGCAGACAUGAAAGAUAGAACAUUUCCUGAUCAAGCCCAACCUUUCAAAAUGAUGACCCGGAGCAUGACACAUGAUCUAGGGCCAGGUCAGGACCAUCCACUAGCCAGUGCCUCAAAGCCUAUUAUUCCUCAGAGGAUCACUAGUAGCAGAGCCCAUGUGAUGGGAACUAAGCACUAACAAGUUUCUUUAUUUGUAAUUUCAAUAAAUUAUGUUCACAUAGCAUAAAUGGGAGUGUACUUAGCAAAUUGGGCUUGAGCCAAACUCAUUUUUGCAAGAUGAUGCACCUAGGUUUAGGAAGGUUGACCUACCUUCUAGAAACUAGGUUAGUAGUGUUGAAGAUGGAUGAAGCUUCUUCUCUACCCAGUCUUAGUGUGUGUUUGAUGUAGAAAAUAGCUAGUUUGUUUAAAGAUUGUAAUGUGUUUUAGAUGAUCUUGUAUUUAGGCUAGUGUGUGUUUAAGGUUGCCUUUUGCUACAUGACCUAUCUUAGAUGCCUCAUCAAGGUAGUAAGAUCAAGCACAUAAAGUGAUCAAAUGGUUUUCAAAAAUCUUUUUAGAGUUUUCUCAAAAAAUAGGAUACUGCACAAAAAUCAAUUUGCUUCUCUGUAAAAGAAUAGGUUUAUUUUUGGUAUGCUGAAAGGAUCUUUCGAAAGUUGGUUAGGGCACCAAAAAUGCAGUUCAGUUAGUUAUUUCAGUUAAGCUGAGCUGGUAGUUUUCCUGAAAAACAAUCUAUUUGUUUUUUAAUCAACCUGUUGUUUUUAUAACAACUUUUUAACUGUUUUUUAAAAAGUUGUUAGAUUUUUAUAAAUUGAAAGGUCUUUCUCACAUGAAAGGUUGUUGAGCAAUCACAAUUUUAACAAAAAUUAAACACUUUCUGUGUGAGAAGAAGGAUUGAAAAGAGUUUUUGAAAGGUUUUCCAAAAUGAACUUCAAAUGUGCUUGUUCUAGGAGAACCUUGAUCUUGGUGAAGGUGCUGACACUAUUUUUGCUACAAUAGGGACAACUGGUUUAUGUUCUUGCAUCUUCCUUUCAGGUGUUAUCUUUCCUUUACUCAUUCUUGUAAAAUGUGUAAGUGUUAGUCACUCUUUGAUAGGGUUUCUUGGAGUGCAAUGUGUGCUGAAAUAGGGUUUUUCAGCUUUGGUUGUAUUAUUCUUGUAGGUUUCAAGAACUGUUGUGUUGUAAUUGUUUGGAAUUGGUUUUUAGUGUAUUUUACCUUGGAGUAAGGUGAAACUGGAUGUAGCUCUUUAUGAGUGAACCAAUAUAAACUAUGCUUGCAUAAAUCUUCUCAUCCCUGCACUCGUUUCUGGUUUUUGUUUAAUCUGUCAAGAACUUAGACACUAAUAGACCCAACAAGUAGGGGUGAUAUUAGCCUUAGUCAAACCCUAACGCCCCUCUCCCCCCUUCUCCCCUCUUCUCUCUCUCUUGCCCACCAAGGCACCCCUUUCCUAUAAAUAGGGUGCCUGACCUCAUAUAUUUUCACAAUGAAUUUGAAUAUAAUAAAGAAACUCUGCCGGAGUGUUUCUGUGAGACUUGAGAGUUGAUAUGAGUUGGGUGUAGUUUUCAAGAAAACAGAGGAAACCUAACUGGAAUGAAAAACAGAAUUAAGAACUUCAAAAGACAUAAUAGAAGUGAUGUUUAAGAACUUGUAUAAGUCUAUUACACAAGUAUGAACUCAAAACUAAAAAGAAAAAAGCAGCAAAGGAUCAAGAAAACAAACACAUAAAACUGUACUCAAACAAAAUCAAGAAACAAAAAUUAUCAACAAAAGGACUACAUAGAAUUAAUAACAUUUUUGGAGAAACAUGACUUUGACAAAACUUAUAAGGAUUCAAAAAUCAAAAUGACAAAAAAAAAGAACAAGAAAACAACAAGAAAUACUAAAAAAUAAACCUAAAACAGAAAGGUAACAACAAGAAUGUAAAAUUCUUGAAUUAAAAGUGCCAAAACAACUCAAACACAAACAAGAACAAACCUAAGACUCAUGAUACCACAUGAUAUGAUUCCAAUAACAUGAUAGAGAUAUAAUAUGGACAUGUUUUGGAUUCAACAAGAGUUGGAAUAUGAUUAGGCACUUUCUAAGAAUUGGAUCAAUGUUCUUAACAUUCAAGAACUCACCAAAUCACAAGUAACCAAGCCAAACUCAUAUAGAAACCCAUAAUAUGGCAAAUGAAUCGAUUAAAACACAAAAGAACACAAAUGAACCGAUUAAAACACAAGAAAACUCAAUUAAAAUCACAAGAACAACAAACUAAGAAGAACUAUCGAAUGGAAACNNNNNNNNNNNNNNNNNNNNNNNNNNNNNNNNNNNNNNNNNNNNNNNNNNNNNNNNNNNNNNNNNNNNNNNNNNNNNNNNNNNNNNNNNNNNNNNNNNNNUUGGAGUUCUUGGAUAUGUGCACGCCACUUGAAGGAUGAAAGACUUCAAGAUGAGUGUAGAUGCCGCCACUUGAGGUUCCAAGAAUGCACUCAAGAUGAGACUAGAAGAGGAGAACGACUCUUUCACAACUCAUCUUGGAGUACCUCCUACUCCUAGUGGCGUGACAUUCCUUCUUUUUCCAUAACCUUUCUUCAUCCCAUCCUCUUUUUAUCUUCCUUUUGUGCCAUCUAUUCCGUUCCUCUUUAUAAUAUCAUGUUUGUCUUUUAAUUUUGGUUAUCACUUGUCUUUCUUCAUCUUAUGUUCUUUCCAUUUCCGCAAUUUACAUUCAUCAUCACAAUCACCAUAUUGUGUUUUACUCUCUGCCCUCUAGAAGUGAACAUUCACGCUUACUUAAGUAUUUGGUUAAGUUCGUGUCCAGUGGGGAUCUUCUUUGGUUUCUCACUUUAAUUUUUUAAUCUAAAAAAUCUUAAACAAAAGAGUAACCUCUAAAAUGUGUCAAUGUAAAAUCAACUCACAUUAAGUCAAGUGCCUCUGUUACAUGCGGCUACUGUCCUCGAUACGUUACCUACCCUCCAGAAACAUCUACCUACUUUGGAUGCACGCACAAACCCUAAUUGUAGCCCAAACCCCACAAGCCCAAUUCACAACAUUGCAUCUUCACACUUUGAGGAUAAAGUGGAAUUUCCAGCGGAUGACAUUGUUAGAAAAGGACCCAAUGCCACAGGGAGACUAAGUAGACAAUAUAAACAACCUAUAUGGAUGGAUGACUACAUAAUGUAAUAGGGGUAGUACAGUUAGUGAAAGUAAAUGGGCUCACGUAAGCCCAUGUUUUCUUAACCUAAAACAUCACCUAUAUAAGUGAUAUAUUACUUUUACCCUAGUUGUUAAUUCUUUAGUCCUCAUUAGUUGCAGUAGCUAUUGUAGUUCACCCUAUCAAAAACCGAGUACAUGAAUUACCUGCAUAAAAGAAGUACUAUUGAACUCAUAUGAAAAGCCGUACGCAUACAAGGUGUUUCCAUAUAGAAAAACAAUUCUAGUGAAUACGAGUGGUCUAAGAUAUGAUCGGUUUGACCAUGCACUAAAAUAAACUGGAGAAAAUAUUUGUACAUAUAUGUCAGUUCAUAUUUUAUGGAGAAAAUAUUUGUGCAUAUAUGUCAGUUCAUAUUUUAUAAUUAGUAAAACUAACAGCACGUGUUAUUAUUGUAAUACACAUUCAGAGCCUAUGAUGUUGUUGAUAAACACAAUGGAUCAGAAACUACUAAUAACCUGAUGAGUUUUUUUCAAUAUGAAAUUCAAGAUCAAGGAAAGAUUACUUAGAAUUUAUCAUAUUUUGGAUAUAUAUAAUAUAAUAUGAUUAAUAGAACUCCUAACCUCAAUUGUUAUACAUAUCUCUUAGACUUUCUUUUUAUUAACUUAUAAUUGAUAUAAUAUCUGAAAAAAGUUUAAACAAUUUUGCCGGAAUUUAAACAACCAUUUCUCAUUUUGGUGUAAGUAUCAUUGCCACCAUUAACAAAAAGGGUUAAAAAUAUCAUCACGAAAGAGAAAAGAAAGAAUUCAACAAAUAAGGAUUUAGAAAAAUCUUAUAAAUCAUCUUUAUUGCCUCUGUUCCUUAAAAAACCCUUCUAUCAAGCGGCUUCUUAUUAACAAUGAUUCUGAAGGCAAGAGCUAUUCUCUCUCUCUGUUGUAAGUGUCUAUUCUAAAGAAUUGAUUAGCUCUAAUACAGAAUAUAGAAAUAAAGACAUAAUGCAACAAAAGCUUUCAUCAUUAAUUACAUGAUUACAGUUUGGAAGAUAAUGACGAAAUAAAGUUGGUUGGGAACAAAGAAAAAAUGGAAAGAAAGGAAGCAGUUUGGUUGUGUUUAUGGAAGGAAGGAUUGUGAGAUUUAAUAUGUUCCUGGAUCUUUUCCUUUCUGUGGAUUGUGCGCUGUUUUUGUUAGCAGAGGAGUGUCUGUGUGUUUGGUUGUUGUGGUUUGAUUUGUUUGUGGAUGACGUGGUCUUCCUCCGUUGUGUUUUGUUGUGGCGAGUAGAAGAGGAGUGGGUCUCGUUUGGGUGAUGGUUAUAGAAAAUUGCAUGGUAGAGUUGGAUGAGGAAGGUGCAGGAAGAGGCAUUGAAAUGAGAGUGAAUUGAAUGCAGAAGAUGAAGAUGAAGAUGGUGGCAGUAGGAGAGAAGAGA
rnacentral:lncRNA from 1 species